ensembl:misc_RNA 7SK 7SK RNA
GGAUGGGACUUUAUCUGGCUGCAACAUCUGUCACUCCAUUGAUGAAUGAGUAAUGGACUGAGUAAUGAUGACUGGUGUCCCCUUCUUCCCCCACUCCUCCAUGUGUGUCCUUCAGGCAGCUUGGCACUCUGUUGAAGGCAUGCUCUUCUGCAAUACUGGGAGACCCUACUGUAGGGGAAGCUGUAGCCACGCCUGCUUUGGGGUGUGCCUGACCACACCUGCGAGGGCGUAGUCAGGGUAAGGUAGAGUGAGAAGAGGUCAGGUGGCUGGUCACUUUUGGUUUC